AGUGAACGCUGGCGGCGUGCUUAACACAUGCAAGUCGAACGAGAACGGGUUAUAGCUUGCUAUAAUUGUCAGCUAAGUGGCGCACGGGUGAGUAAUGUAUAGGUAAUAUGCCUCUUACUAAGGGAUAACAAAUGGAAACGUUUGCUAAUACCUUAUACUCCUUAUUAACAGAAGUUAAUAAGGGAAAGAUUUAUUGGUAAGAGAUUAGCCUGUAUUGUAUCAGUUAGUUGGUGGGGUAAUGGCUUACCAAGACUAUGACACAUAACUGGUUUGAGAGGAUGAUCAGUAACACUGGAACUGAGACACGGUCCAGACUCCUACGGGAGGCAGCAGUGGGGAAUAUUGCACAAUGGACGAGAGUCUGAUGCAGCAACGCCGCGUGGAGGAUGACACAUUUCGGUGCGUAAACUCCUUUUAUAUGAGAAGAUAAUGACGGUAUUAUAUGAAUAAGCACCGGCUAACUCCGUGCCAGCCGCCGCGGUAA
rnacentral:rRNA from 1 species